rnacentral:lncRNA from 1 species
GAUCGCCAAGGACGCCGGCCUUUUACGUCCGUGGUCUCUUCCCAGACGCCCGGCGGGGCAGGCGGGGUGGAGUUGGGUGAGCUCCCAGGGCGGCGGUCUACACCCGGUAGGGUGUCGGGGCGGCGUACGCCUAGUAGGCCUCCGGUCCGGCGCUCUGCACCCAGCAGGCUCCCAGCGUGGUGUCGUGUACGCGGUGGGCGUGCGGGAUUGCAACACCUGCCGCACCCGGGGGGGGGGGGUUGGGCGGUCCGUGCCGCCUCACUGGAGGGCGGGUCGGUGAAGAGAGCACUUCCUCCUGGUUUCCGGGAACCUCUCUCCCCUAGACACGUCCAAAACCGCACUCCCCAUUUUCCCUCCCAAACCCCCGUCUUUCCCGUCGCCUCUGGCUCGCAGGUCCGUCGCCUUGGCGUCGUCCUCCGCCGCGUUCCCUCCCGCUCGACCCACGUACCGGACGUCGCCGAAUCCCGUCGGUUUUCCCUCUCCCGGCUUCCCUCACGUCCACCCUUUCCCCUCCACCCCGACCGCUUCCAUGGCGACCCGGGCACUUAUCCCGUCCCGCCCCCCGCCUCUCCCCGGUGCCGUCUGUACGCUUGGCUCUGCCUCCCGGCUCCUCUUUCCGAAAAACAAAAGUCUCCCCGCUGCCCGAGAACCUCCGGGAGUUGCCCGUCCGCCUCCACGUCAAAGGGAAGCUCCUCACCGUCGGCUUUAAACCGCGGUACGUCGCCUCCCUGCCUUCCCGCUGCGGCCCGGAAGACUCGGGUCACUCCCCGGACCCCGAUUUACUCUCUGUCCCUCCAUCUCGUCGGCCUCGCGGCCCUCGCUUACGUCCCCCCCCCCCAGCCUGGAACCCGCUCCCUCUCCACCUUCAGGGGCUUUUUAAAAACCACAUCUCCUCCAAGAGGCCUUCCCGGUCGGGCUCUCCUCCGAAUCCCUCUCCCCUCUGCGCCGUCCGUGCGUUCGGAAACCGCUUACCGUCCGCCCCGCCCUCAACCCGCCGUUCAUUUUUAUCACCGGGUCCCCCCCGCCCCCCAGACUCGAAGCUUUCUCCGGGCCGGGCACGCGGCCGCCGACCCUCUCCGAAACGCUCAGCGCGGCGCUCGGCGGUCGGUGUUCGAUAGAGGCCGCCGAUGGAUCGACCGGUCGUACGGAGAGGGGAGAGUCGGGGGUGUCGGACGGUCCGGGCCGGGUCGCUGGGGCACCGGGGGGGGGGGCGGGCGGGCGGCGUCGGACGGUCCGACCGUCGACCGCGGGGGCGGUCGCCCGGGCCGCGGUCCUUCCCGGCUCCCCGGUGACCUCGGGAGCGCGCGCGCGCGCUCGGGCACCCGUCCCGUCGCCCCGCCGGGGAUCGGAAGACACCUCGUCGGAUCCGCCGGCUCCCGGAGACCCGACCCUUCACGGGUCCCGCCGGGCACAACGCAAAUAUUUGUUGGGCCCGGCCCGGUUAAUCAGUAA